rnacentral:rRNA from 1 species
AGAUUGGUAAGGAGGCUUUGACAACGGUUGGCUACCAUGCAAGUCGUACGAGAGUUUUUAACUCUAGUGGCGGACGGGUGAGUAACACGUGAGAAUUUACCUUUAGGAGGGGGAUAACAAUUGGAAACGAAUGCUAAUACCCCAUAUGCUUUCGAGUGAAAUGGAUUUAUAUUUAUUCGCCUAGAGAGAAGCUCGCGGCUGAUUAGCUUGUGGGAAGGGAAAGACCUUACCAGGGAAACAAUCAUUUUCGGGUUUGGAGGGGAAAAACAAACCCCCGGAAACGGAACCCCGGGUCCAGACUCCUACGGGAGGCAGCAGUGGGGAAUUUUCCGCAAUGGGCGAAAGCCUGACGGAGCAAUACAGCGUGAGGGAAGACUGCCUAUGGGUUGUAAACCUCUUUUUUCAGGGAGGAAUAAAUGACGUGUACCUGAAGAAUAAGCAUCGGCUAACUCCGUGCCAGCAGCCGCGGUAAGACGGAGGAUGCAAGUGUUAUCCGGAAUCACUGGGCGUAAAGCGUCUGUAGGUGGUUUAAUAAGUCAACUGUUAAAUCUUAAGGUUCACCUUAAAAUCCGCAUUCCAAACUUUUGGACUAGAUUUUAGAGGGGUAAAGGGAAUUUCCAGGUGGAGCGGGGAAAUGCUUAUAUUUUGGAAAGAACCCCGAUGGAAAAAGCUCUAUGGGGGCUUUUCUCCCCCCAAAAAAAGGUGGGGGAACAAAGGGAAUACCCCCCC